rfam:Pteropus vampyrus cont1.99872, whole genome shotgun sequence.
AGAGUGCCCUUUCUCUCCUGCCUUUUUAGUAGCUCCAGGUAAAUAUUGAUUUGCCCCCAGUUUACCUCCUCCCUGACUGGCCAUUUGCAGACUAAGGAAGUGGCCUCUGUAGGGACUUGAUUUUUGAGUUACUUUCUGGGGCAUUCAUUCACCUCCCCUUCCUUCCUCCAAGUAGCAUUGUAAAACUCACGGUGACAAAGAGACAGGGUAGGGUUCAAGGCCCCAGUUCCUGAGGACUUGAGGGCUGUUCUGCAUAUGGGUCAGACACGGCUAGAGGCCAAGGUCAAGUUGAAAGUUGUAGUCUAGUCUGUUUGAGAACUGCCACCAAGCCUGGAGACCCAGGCAGCUGUGAAAGGCCCACCGCUCACCUCCUCUCA